AUUAUUUACUAAUCGUUAGCUAGUCCUCUCUUGUAACAUUUAUACUUUAAUACCACUAAUUUGUAAUAAUUAUAAAUCAGUCCAAUUAUCAACAUAUUGAUAAUUAGGUUCUCCGGUGAUUCAAAAAUCACGAUCUAGCUAUCCGAUCAAUUCCAACCUCUUAUGUGUGUGACCCUAUAGGAUGUAUUCUAUCUGGUAGUUAGAUAUAUUCUGAUCAUUAUCAACAAUUUCACUGAAACUGCUUUCAGUAGAUCGAAAUAAUUCCAACUCAGCUUAAUGAGAAUUAUCGACCAUCUAGAUAAUU
rnacentral:lncRNA from 1 species